GAUAUUGUUGGAAACGUGAUUUUCUCUGAUAUCACUUGUUGGAACCGGUAUUUGUGCUGAUAACGAUUAUAUAACCCAAAAUUUAAAAUAGAACAAAAUAAUACAAAGAAGAGAUAUUGGAGAAAGAAGAUAACUAAACUAAUAAGCAAUUAAUUACAUUCUAGGCAACACCUAUGCAGUCAUGUCUACUAUGCUUAUUUUCUAAUUAAGCCAUGCCUAACUAUAUAUAGCCUUCAAAUCAUAACAGAUAAUAAAUCCAAUUUUACUUUGGAUAAGAACAUAUCCUAGCCAUAAUCAAAUAAAAGAUUUAAACUUAUCUAUAACUAUAUUUUAAUUAA
rnacentral:lncRNA from 1 species